rnacentral:rRNA from 1 species
CUACGGGACGCAGCAGUGAGGAAUAUUGCACAAUGGGGGGAACCCUGAUGCAGCAACGCCGCGUGGAGGAUGACGCAUUUCGGUGUGUAAACUCCUUUUAUAUGUCAAGAAAAUGACGGUAGCAUAUGAAUAAGCACCGGCUAUACUCCGUGCCAGCAGCCGCGGUAAUACGGAGGGUGUAAGCGUUACUCGGAAUCACUGGGCGUAAAGGACGCGUAGGCGGGUUGGAAAGUCAGGUGUGAAAUCCUACAGCUUAACUGUAGAACUGCACUUGAAACUUCUAAUCUAGAGUAUGGGAGGGGGAGAUGGAAUUAGUGGUGUAGGGGUAAAAUCCGUAGAUAUCACUAGGAAUACCUAAAGCGAAGGCGAUCUCCUGGAACAUUACUGACGCUAAGGCGUGAAAGCGUGGGGAGCAAACAGGAUUAGAUACCCCCGUAGUC